UACGUAGGCAGCGAGCGUUGUUCGGAGUUACUGGGCGUAAAGGGUGUGUAGGCGGUUGUUUAAGUUUGGUGUGAAAUCUCCCGGCUCAACUGGGAGGGUGCGCCGAAUACUGAAUGACUUGGAGUGCGGGAGAGGUGAGUGGAAUUCCUGGUGUAGCGGUGAAAUGCGCAGAUAUCGGGAAGAACACCGGUGGCGAAGGCGGCUCUCUGGACCUAUCCUGACGCUCAGGCGCGAAAGCUA
rnacentral:rRNA from 1 species